rnacentral:rRNA from 1 species
GAUGAACCCUGGCGGCGUGCCUAAUACAUGCAAGUCGAGCGAACGGACGAGAAGCUUGCUUCUCUGAUGUUAGCGGCGGACGGGUGAGUAACACGUGGAUAACCUACCUAUAAGACUGGGAUAACUUCGGGAAACCGUAGCUAAUACCGGAUAAUAUUUUGAACCGCAUGGUUCAAAAGUGAAAGACGGUCUUGCUGUCACUUAUAGAUGGAUCCGCGCUGCAUUAGCUAGUUGGUAAGGUAACGGCUUACCAAGGCAACGAUGCAUAGCCGACCUGAGAGGGUGAUCGGCCACACUGGAACUGAGACACGGUCCAGACUCCUACGGGAGGCAGCAGUAGGGAAUCUUCCGCAAUGGGCGAAAGCCUGACGGAGCAACGCCGCGUGAGUGAUGAAGGUCUUCGGAUCGUAAAACUCUGUUAUUAGGGAAGAACAUAUGUGUAAGUAACUGUGCACAUCUUGACGGUACCUAAUCAGAAAGCCACGGCUAACUACGUG